AAUGAACGCUGGCGGCGCGCCUAAUACAUGCAAGUCGAGCGAGAAGACGUAGCAAUACGUUUGUAAAGCGGCGAACGGGUGAGGAAUACAUGGGCAACCUACCCUCGAGUGGGGAAUAACCAGCCGAAAGGUUGGCUAUACCGCGUACGCUUCCGGGUCUCCGGAUCCGGAAGGAAAGUCACACCGUGGGUGUGACGCUCAAGGAUGGGCUCAUGUCCUAUCAGCUUGUUGGGAGGUAACGGCUCACCAAGGCAACGACGGGUAGCUGGUCUGAGAGGACGAUCAGCCACACUGGCACUGCGACACGGGCCAGACU
rnacentral:rRNA from 1 species